rnacentral:Y_RNA from 1 species
AGUUGAUCUGAAAGCUGUGGGUUAUCACUAAUUUUCUUGACAUCAUGUCUCCCCCACAACCACGCUUGACUGACUUUUG